CAUCAGCUGACCGCUCUCCUCGUCUCUCUGAGUGCGCGUGGUCCUUCCCCUUUCCCCCUUUCCUUGUUGGUUUUCUGUAUGUUUGCGUUUCAUUGUCCCCCCCCUUGUACACUCGACGCCCUUUUUUCGUGAUGUUUCCUCUUUUUUCCUGUUGUUGUUCCUCUCUGUCUGCAUCUCAGCUCACAUGCUGCAGUGGCGGCGGUGCCCGUGAUGACAACGACGUCGACGAGGUGAGCCGCCAGCGCACACGCACACGACUACACGUAGUCAAAAGUAGAAAGCAGCACACGGAUGCCUGGCACCAAAAGAGAGACGAAAAAAGCGGGCACAGAUGGCCAAACCGCGAGAGGGGGUAGGAUUUGCCAGCAUAUCAUAAGGUGGCAAUACACCGCGCCAGUACUACCAUUCCUCACUCCAGCUACCCCGCUUCGCACCUACCACGUCUUCCUUUACCAUUUUAUGUUUUCCAUUAUUAUUGCUCUCUUGAUGGCGGCGGCACAAACCUCACGGUGCUUGGUAUCACAGGGCCCCGUACACCCCCACUCUGUGUGUGUGUGUGUAGGAGGAGGCCACGCGGCACCUCACCUCUGUCCCCUGCCAAUGUCAGAACCCUACUUCUUCUGGUGCGGACAGGGUCAAGCACCGACGACGUAGCGGCUGUCGGGGCGGUGUACCACUGCUGGCGUCGGCGACGCGGCCGUGGAUAGCGUUGUGCUGGGGCGGCCUGCAACCGUGCACACGUCUGCGCCAUCCAUAUGAUUGGGCAGCGUGCCAGAGCGACUCGGGCGCAUGUCUCACCCGGCCCUCGCGCACUGCCUGCUGGUGCGGGUGGGGGGGGGGGGGCUGAGCCAUGCCCCGAGGAGGGAUGCACGAGGGCUGGCGGCCGGCAUGAUGGGGGAGCGGCUGUGAGGCGAGACCUGCGAGGCAAAGAGAGGGGGAGAGAGAGGUUGGUAGGGCACGAGGCAGGGGGGCCGUGCUCUCAGAUGGCUGAGUGGGCGCACUGCUGCAGCGCGUGUGUCCACGACUGCUUCGCACCACGCUGGUGGGACCUGUGCGCCUGCGGGGCUCGGGUGGCGUUUGAUCUCCUGUGCUGUAGCGGAGAAGGGGCACGUGGAAAGUGGGCAAAAUCAAGGGUUUGUGCUUCAUCUCCAGUGGGCUGUGCUAGCAGCCUUCUACUCUGGUUAUCCGCUGUGUGUGUGUAGAUCUGGCAGCGCGUCGCACCCCGGUUACUAUUUUCGCUGUGUCCCUUUUGCCUCUGCAGACCCCGUGCCUACUGUAAGGUUUCUUCAUUCCUCCCCUCCUCCUGUUUGUCUCCCCGCUCGUCUGAUACCUCUGUGUGUUUUAUUAUUAUUUUUCUGGGUCUUGUAAGGUGUCUAGUUAUACGCUAAAAUCGUAUGAGGAGCCUCUUGUGUGGUUUGUCCCUUUUGUUUCGCCUGCGUGUAUGCGCUCUGUGCGUUGAUUUUCUUUCCUCUCCCGUUGCCGCCGUCGCGUAGUCUCUCCUCCUUCCCAUGUUCUGUGCGUGUGUGCUUUAGCUACAGUGGACUCGGGAUUGCUGCCAAACUAUGCAGCGGAAUGUUUCUCGUGCUGGUGGACGUGAGAGUCAGCAACAAAUAAAGACGUGCACUGUUUGCUUUUUCUCCUUUACUGUGCACCCAUCAGUUCUUCGUUUUGUUUUCCUGUUCUUGGGUGAGCAUGCGUGCCUCCUCGUGCCUCUUCUCUCUCUUUCACACGCUGCUGCACUAGCACCUUUUCGCCUCCUUGACCAUUACAAGCUCGUUUCUCAGCCAUCUUGCACGGCGGGCACAGCGGCACGAGUUCCUUGUCUUCUUAGUCCCUCAUCUGCCCCUCCCCGUUUUCGAUUUUUUCUUUGUGCUACGCUCUACCGUCGCCGCUGUCCCUUUCUUUUAGUUUAUUGUUGUUUUUGGGUCCACGAAUGAGCACGCGUGUGUGGACUAGAACAAGGCGAGGUGGACCACAGGUCGAGUGCAAUGGCGCCCUGGACGCCAACGCUUUUGCCUUACCCAAGCGUGUCUUCCGUGGCCUGUGUGUGCGCACCGACAGCGUGCGGGCAGCAACACCGGCAGCAGUCGGGAAGAAGCAACGCAGCCAGGGAGCGACUGACAAACUGAUUCGAAGGGGCUAAACGAGCAUCCGAUACCCAAUACAACUAGAAAGUAUCAAAAGGCACGGAACGAGAACUGCGGAAGAAGGACCGCAUGCGCGGGGGCGAUUUUUGGGAAAAGAUGCAAAGAGAAGGCGGCAAGGGCUUGGCAGCACUCUAUCUCCUCGCCCCUCCAUGCUUGGCCGUGUAACACGCCCCCCUCCUCUUGUGGAGCGGCUCCCUGUCUCCCGCUCUCGAGCAGCGCACAAGGAGUGGAAAAAGGAAUCCGAAUAGCGUUUGUCCGGUUCACCUUCGACAUAUAUGAGUGAGUGCAUGUGUGCCCUCAUGAAGGCCUGCACGCACCACCUUCGUGCGCACCCGUCGCACCGCCCUGCUCGUGUGACGGCCGAUCUUUUCGAUGGGAAGUUGCGGCGUCGUGCUCUCUUUCGCCCUUUGGCGAUGCAAAACUCUGGCGCCACUUCGCACCUACUGCCUCUUACCUCCGGCGUCCUUCGGUAUUUCUGCUCAACCUCUCUCACCUCGACUUCGAGCGCGCGCGCUCUGUAUCUUUCUUCUGGAGGGAUGCAUCUCUCCUCCAG
rnacentral:misc_RNA from 1 species